GGUGACUGGAGCUGAUGGGAGUUGUGGCCAAACAACACCUGGAGAAUAUCACAUUGGCCACCUUUGGAUUAUAUGAAGACCAAUAUGUGGAAGAUAGAACGCUGUUUCUCCAAUUUAAAUUCUCUAGAUGGUAUCAUUUUGGAAGGGGAAGUGUCAAUGGAGAUACCUUGAAGGUUUGAAAUUCAUUCCCUUGUAUGGUGCUUUCCUUGAGCUACUUUUUCAUAUUAUGCCUUCUGCCGUAUCAGAUGGCAGAUGCAAACAUGUUCCUGCCUCACAGUGGAUUUGUAUCUGUAAUUUGAAUCAGAUUAAGGAUGUAAUUAGUUAUGUCCUGAAAUGUCCCUCAUAUGGUGGGCCAGGGGAAAGAAUAUUGAGAAAGUCUUUGUCUGUAUUAACAAGCAGUUUUGUUCAAGAAAUUUUAUCACAUGCAGAACAAGCUUCAUACAGGUACUCACCAUGGUUGCUAUUCCUCCACAAAUUCUCCAACGUUUUGAAUUUAACAUUUCUGAACAAAAUCUGGCACUUUGAACUGAGUUCCUCUAAACAUGUUCAUAUACUCCCAGUCCCAUACAAAAACCACUAACUUUAUUGUUUGAAGGGCCUAAGGGACAAAAAUCCCUGCCCAUGUGAAGAGUGAGCAGGAUGUAGCCUCUCAUCCUUUUAAAAAGCAUGUGGGCAUGUCCUCUUAAUUUAGUUUCCUGUGGCAUUUCCUCAAUCCUCAUUUGCUGAAGUUUUGAUUCAUGCUCAUGUGGAGUUUUCUUUCUUUCUUAUAUGCUGUAUUCUGCCUUGCUAUCCUCUUUAUUAAACUAAGGGUUUUUAAUCUGUAAAUAAUUCCCCCCUUUCUUUCUGUUGUUUUCCCCGUCCACUGGGUCUAAACUGACAUUGUAAUCUCUUUGGUGCAGAGAGCUGUCUUCAGAGCACCAUGUGCAUUAAUAAAUGAAGAUACAUUGCAAACCUUGUCAAAUUUCCCUUCCAUUUGGCAGUUCCUCCUGUUUGGGGUUGUUACUUAUUAAACACAUUGUUCAAGUUCUUCUAAUCUCGGUCUCGCUGCUUCUCAAUGUGCUGAACAAACAGCAUGAGAAAAUAAUUUUCCAGGCACUUGUAAAAGACACGCUGAAUGCAUGCUGUGUUUCACACAACAAUGUUGGAUCAGUUCACUGUGAAGCCUUAGGUGAAAUCCUGACUCUGCUGAAUUUAAUAAAACUCCUGUUAACUUUGGAGAGUCAAGACCUCCACCCCACCCCCUAAUUCAUUUUAAUUAGAGUGUUACAGCCAACUUGUCUUAAGUUAUCUUUCUCAUUAGGUAGAUGUCCUCUUUAAAUUUAAUUUAGUUGAAUGCUACAGAACUGUGCCUCCCACUGAAGUCUUCUAGGAUGUGUGCAACUGUCCUGCAAAACUCUUGGGUGAAUCCUGAUAGAUGUAGUUUAAGAUGGUACCAAAGUAUGACUGAUACACAAGAAUACACUUCAUAUUAGCUUUAUAAAACAGUUGUGGCAUUCGUUCACAUGUGUUGCCUUCUCUAGCUCUUAGAUGACACCAUGUCCAGGACAAUUUACAUUCAUCCCAAAUGUAUCCACAUCAAAGAACUUUCCUUAAUGCAUUUCAGAUUAUUGGAUUUGGCCGUAUCUUUUCUGCAACACAUACUCUCAUUUAGUUCCCUUUUAUUCCAUUACGGUAAAAAUGUGUAGUAUUCAGUGUUUUGUUCAAGAAUGGAACAUUUGAUGGCCUGUGUCGUUAGAUUUGCAACGUAAAUCUAGUAAAGGUAAAGGGACCCCUGACCGACUCGAGGGUUGCGGCACUUAUCUUGCUUUAUUGGCUGAGGGAGCCGGCGUACAACUUCCGGAUCAUGUGGCCAGCAUGACUAAGCUGCUUCUGGCGAACCAGAGCAGCGCACGGAAACGCCGUUUACCUUCCUGCUGGAGUGGUACCUAUUUAUCUACUUGCACUUUGACGUGCUUUCAAACUGCUAGGUUGGCAGGAGCAGGGACCGAGCAACGGGAGCUCACCCUGUUGCGGGGAUUCGAACCCCUGACCUUCUGAUCAUCAAGUCCUAGGCUCUGUGGUUUAACCCACAGCACCACCCACAUCCCUUAACGUAAAUCUUGUUGUUUAGUCGUUUAGUCAUGUCCGACUCUUUGUGACCCCAUGGACUAGAGCACAUCAGGCACUUCUGUCUUCCACUGCCUCCCGCAGUUUGGUCAGACUCAUGUUUGUGGCUUCGAGAACACUGCCCAACCAUCUCAUCCUCUGUCGUCCCCUUCUCCUUGUGCCCUCAAUCUUUCCCAACAUCAGGGUCUUUUCCAGGGAGUCUUCUCUUCUCAUGAGGUGGCCAAAGUAUUGGAGCCUUAGCUUCAUAAAUCUAGAUGCGUAUAAUUAGUGGCAAUCUAAAAACAAUGAUGCAUGCUUAUUCCAGUUGUGGAAACAGUGUGCUACCCAGACCUGCUUUUUAUAGGGGAGAUUGCAUUGAAAUAAAUGUGCACUGACUCAACAUAUAGAGAAAAGGGCUCACGGGCGUGCUACAGUGUCAGAAUACUGGGGACAGUCAUUGUGUCACCAAGUGGGCAGAAUGCCCAGAGAGCUGUUAAUGGCUCACUGCUCCUGACACCACUGUCCUGCAUUCACUUUUCUCCUACUCCCAUAAGAAGCGAAGGCAGGGGAAGAGCUUCCAUGUAUGAGGGCCCAAGUAUUAUUUUCAGACAAGGUUCAUGACUCCAUACCUCAUAUUUAGGUAUUAAGCCAUACCACAUGAAAUAUUUUUUUAAAAAAUUCAGGCAUCAAUGACAUCUACACAUUCAGCGCCCAACUAAACACACGCUGUGAAGAACACUUGCUUCCAGUUCUAGUUCCGUGCAGUUUCCUUCCCUCCAAAAUUGAUUAAAAUGUUAAUUAUCCCAAACACAUGCUUUGAAAGUAGAAUAUAAUGAAUCAUGCAGCAUAUAGUGGUUGGUGUAUAUGGCCUUAAUCAUGUGGCAAGCAUAGGCAACUCAUCUGUGGCCAUCUUACAUUGUGCAGCAUUCAUGAAAAUCAAGAGGAUAUAUGUCAGGAACUGGACUGACCACCUCCCCCUUCUCCUGAACCUUCCCGAGAAGAGGAGGACAGUAUAGACUUACAAUGGUGGUUUGCAGAGGGUCACAGCUCAGAGAGAGAAGAGGGGCAAAGCUAGGAGAUAAUGGGAGAUGCAGAGCAGGAACAGCUGGCUGACAUGUUAUCACUAGAGAGCAUUCCAGACCCCCCUUCUCCCAGAACCUGGUGAGCAGUGAAAGUCAGACAGGCAAUUGACCCUAAGCAGACACCAUAAGGAAAGUAGAGCUACUGAUGACUGAGAAGGGAAUGGGGGAGGAGAUUACUUGGAGCAACGCCAUUAUCCAAGAGACGGCAUUUCUAUCUCUCUAUGAAUAUUGAAUGAAAGACCUUGGUAAGAGCUUCUUGUCUUUCCUUUACUGGCAGCCUGCCGGGGGUAGCCAAUGUGGUGUUCUCCAGACUUUGUUGGACUCCACUCCCAUCAGCCCCAUCCAACAUGACCAUGGACCUGGAGUCCAACAACAUCUUCAGGGCACCAUAUUGACUACCCCAGUGUUGUCCAAUGGAAGCAGAAGCUUCCUAGUGUUUUCCAUGCUGCUGGCCAAUGUUCAUCUAAGCAAGACCACUCCCCACCCCCAAAGUUAGUGAUAGCUGACCAGGAAUUCGUUAUAAAUUAGAUCACAUAGUUCUUGAGAACAUAUGUUUGAUUAUCACCAUCAGGAAUGAUGUGUGUCUGGACUAGUUUUAUUCCAGGACAGCAAGCAAUAUGUCUUUGCCAAACAAAAACAGAUGUAAUUGCUAAACAAGAUUUCAAGUAACAAAUUUCAUUUUAAUCACAAAAAAGAAAGCUCUGAGACAUUUUUUCAAUUACAGGAAGCCAUUUUAUUAUUAUUUUUCUCCAGCUGGGUAUCCCUGCUGCUUCCUGAAAUUACAUGUAAAUUGUCCCAGAUUUUUGAAGAGGUGUACCUACUGAGGUUUUUCUUUUGUCAGUUGAUGAAGUGUCUCUAAUUAAAGUAACUAACUUAAUCAGCAAUUAUAAGAUAGUUUGCCCCAACCUGUGUAUUUUUGGGACUAGAAGAAGAGUUUAAGAUUUUAAAACAUUUUGGCUAUCCCUAGUGACAUUAUUCUUCCUAAUUAGGCUUUGGUGUUGGAAACAGGUCACCUUUUCUGCAACAACAUCAAAAAACAAUUCAGGAAUGGAUGCAGCAACUUUGGAAAUGAGAGUCUAGUUGAAGGUGAGGGAAUAAGGUCAAUCCUGGUUUUUUUAAAAAAACAGGCAGUAGAUAUAUUGACACACGUAUGCACAUACACAGAGAAAGAGAUUAUAUGUGGUAUAAUUGAAUGCAUUUCUUUCUUACUAAGAUCAAGACUUACCGGUACAUUGUAUGGAUUUCUUGUGUUUGGGCUGUCUGGAAAUGAACAGAAUGGUAAUCUUUAAUAAUAAUAAUAAAUCCUUACAUAUCAAAACAUGGGAUUUCAGGGGAGAAAACUAAGCUAGAGCUCUAUCUUCUGUGUACAUAGACAUUCUUGUAGUGAGAAUGUCACUACUUGCAGCUUGACCAGCAGUUCUCUGCUAAAGCAGGCCUUAGUGAACGUCCAAACAUUCAGAAUGAAUGAGGACUUCCAUCUAAUUGGAUGUCUAAAAAGUGAGAGAAAAUUAGAAGUAUAUAUUAGGCAAAAGCUAUGGUUCCACUCAAAUGGCUGAUUGUGUGAAUCUAGUUGCUGCAUUUAGGCUGAUACCUUGUUCUAUUCUGGUAAGAAACAAAGGCAGGAAAUUGUUUUCAAAACUUGUGGAGGACCUUUUCUCUUUGUGUUUUGAAUACAAUCCUGUGGAAAUGCCCAAAUCUUUGGGCCUCUACAGCUAAGAAGUGCUUCCUGCUUCAUUGCACCAACAGAACCUGAACGAUGAGUGUCAGGUUGUACAGCAAAAUAUUCUAUCAACCCCAAGGCUAUUGUCUGCAGAAGUUACAGAUCCUUUCAUUUGAUACAUGUAAGGCAAGUCAAUAAAACUGUAAUGUGCUGAUGAUUAUGAUUCUACAAAUUUAUAGAUUAAAAGCAUUGAAAAUAUGUACAAGAUAUGAGCAUAAUAACUUGGGUACAAUUAGACCUACCUGAGAACUUCCACAGUGGGAAUUUCUACUUUUUUUCUGUAUACAAUAAUCUAGUAAUCAUUACUUAAUUUAUUUAUUUGAUUCCAUUUAUGACUUGCUUUCCAUCAAGUAUUUCAAAGUGAUUUCCUGGUAUACAGUAUCAACAAUAAAUAAAAUAAAAUAAAAUGUAGGAAGAAUUUAAAACAAUUCCAUCCACUCAAACAAUAACUAUUGAUCUAUAAAACAAUGUAAUGUGGAAAGACCAUUUCUAAUAGCAAUAAUAAUUAAUACAUCUAAUGCAGAUGCAGACUAUGAAAAAGAUCUCCUACUGAAAAGCUGAUUUAAAUAGGAAGGUCCAAUCAACACCAACAAGACAAUGGAGAUGGUACAUGCCAUGAAUGAUGUGUAAUAGGAGAAUAGGUGCCAGUACACUAAAGCCUGAUUCCUAUAUUGUACAUGACUGAUGAGAUGGUAUCCGCAGAAGGCCCUCUCCUGUACCACAGAGCUAUCAAAUGGGUAUAUAUAGGAUGAAAUGAUCAUUUAGAUAUCACAAGCUACAAUUUGAAAAGGGGCUUAGUAUGGGGUGCCUGCUGCUGUCUGAGAAACCACAAGUCUAGAACCCCUUGGGAAACAUGGAACUAGCAAUUAUUUGGAUGCUAGCCUACAUCUUUGGUUAUCAACAUGCUUCGAUUUAUCUUGUGAAAAGUGUGUCUGCUUUCUUUCUUUCUUUCUUUCUUUCUUUCUUUCUUUCUUUCUUUCUAUCAUAUACUUGGCAGAGAAUUGCUAUGUGAUUGUAGGUAAGCAUGCAAACUGUGAUGCAGAAAGUUGUAGAGACAUUUGACUGUUGCCCUUCGAAUGCUCUUGAGUUGUUAUAUAGCUAUUAAGAACUGUUAGCAGAUCCUUUCACAAAUCAGCCUUCAACCGUCUGCAUUUCAAACUGGCAUGCCAGAUUGCAGAAGAAAAAAUGCCGUAAAUAGCAAAAAAGGAUUUUUUAAAAAAAGUAUUUCCACAUUAGUUGGUUUAACAGAGAUUAACGAAAUCCUGUAAUAUCCUUCCAGACACGUCACUUGUGAAAAUUACAUUGAAUGCAUUUCUUAUUAAAGAUUUUAAAUGGCUCAAAUCAGGAGGAAGGAAAACUAUUAGGAAUAUGUUUCAACUCAUAAUAACUACAUAUGAUUUCAUUUUUGUGUGUUCAAUAGUUAUAAAAAUCAGAUAUGCAUCCUAAUGAUUUAAUAGUAUUCUCCCCAACCACCCACCACUGCCUCUUUUCGCUGUUGAAUGAAAACUGAUGCUUGAAUGUUCUUGAUGAAAACAUGGCAUAAUUGGAUCCCACUGCUCAAUUACAGGAUAAAACAAUUUAUAAAAUGUGUUGUACGUUUGAUGAUUAAUCAAUGCUAAUGGAAAGAAAGAGACAGUGUCUUAGGCUCAAUAUUAAAGUGGUCAAGGAUAGAAAUGCACAUUUGGGACAACGGAAUAUUGACCGAGUUCAGUUGGAUCCAAACCAGUGUAGCCACAUUGGCUGAGUAUGCAGAGCUAUGUCCAGUCAAACAUUUGCACACUGAAGAAUACUUUUGAACAUGGAACUCUUUGCUAGAUCAAGGUGUGCAAGAAAACGAAAAUAAAUUAAUUUACGGAAGGUAUGUUACUUUACCAUUUGCUCAAAGGGACUUACAAACAAUUUUAAACUUAAGAAAGUGUUUAAAAACACUUUUUAUAAGAAACCAGAAGCUUUCCUGCUAGGUAUUCUAGGAGAAGAGAUUCCCAAGUAAGACUAUACUCUAUUUUUAUAUGCUACAACAGUGGCAAGGAUUUUGUUAGCCCAGAAAUGGAAGCAGCAAGAAAUUCCGAUAGUAGAAGAAUGGCAAAAUAAGAUGAUUUAAUAUGUAGAACUGGCAAAACUGUCUGGGAAAAUCUGAGACCAGCGAGACCAACGGUUUGAAAAAGACUGGAGUAAAUUUAUUAUGUGUUUGAAAGAACAUUGUAAAUAUUUAACAACACUAACAGGAUUGAGCUAAAGGUUUGAUAGCCAAAAGUAGACACUUAUUUACAAUUAAAAGGAAUAUCAAAGCAAAAAGAAAGGUAGAUAGGGGGAAUGAGAAAUGUGGAUGAAAUUAUGAUUGGAAGCUAGAAAGUAAGUUUGGAGGGAUGGGGGAAGUUGACGACUCGAGAGUGUCAAAUAUAGGAGAUGAUAAGAGAUGUAAAAAUUGUAUGGUGUUUUUUGAAAAUGAAAAUGCUAAUAAAUAUUAUUAAAAAGUGCAACAGGCAAAAAAAAAGGGACUUACAAACAAUUUUAAAAUAUAGAUGAAACAAAAGCAUUAACAAAAUUCAAUCAGGCUAAAAAGCCACGUAAACACUGAGGCCUGGUGGAACAGCUCUGUUUUGCAGGUCCUGUGGAAGGAUGUCAAGUCCCGCAGGGCCCUAGUCUCUUGUGACAGAACGUUCCACCAGAUCGAAGCCACAGCCAAAAAGCCCUGGCUCUGAUUGAGGCCAGCCUAACCUCUCUGUGGCCUGGGACCUUCAAGAUGUUUUUGUUUGAAGACUGUAAGUUCCUCUGUGGGACAUACCAGGAGAGGCGGUCCUGUAGGUACGAGGGUCCGUAUAGGGCUUUGAUGCUUGCCACCCUGCGCUGUUUUGAGGUAAGUGCCGAUGCGGCCUUUUGGCCUCAGACACUUAGCAGGGGUUUUCAAAUGGCCAUGCGGGCCAGAUUUGCGAUGCUUUCAGGCCGCAUCCAGCCCCCAGACCGUAGUUUGCCAACCCCUGCUCUAGUUCAUGACACAUCUAAGCUCCUACUAUUGAGCUGGGAGGGGGUUACAUUUCCAGGGGUGGGGUUACCACGUGCAAAAUGUAGGUGCAGAUAAAACAUGGUGGGCGUCCUUUGCUGUGCAGAUUCAUUUUUAAUAGAGGAAUAGUAUUCAUACCAAAUUACGGUUGCUAUACCUUCCUUUCACCUUGAAUGCCAGACUGCAUUAUAUCAUUAAUAAUAAUGGAUGGUUGUAUUAGAAUGAGCAUUCAGAAAGUAUAUAAAUAAACAUUAUGCAAACAAUAAUUACAGCACAAUGUGAGUGGUGAGUCUUGUUAUCUUUGGUACAGGUUCCUUUGACUUUCAUUUGAACUAAUUGCAUCUUUAAAAGAAAACACGAUUAAUAUUAAUGCUUACUUCAAAGUGUUGCUGCUGACCUUUAAAGCCCUAAACGGCUGCGGUCCAAUAUAUCUGAAGGAGCAUCUCCACCCCCAUUGUUCUACCUGGACACUGAGGUCCAGCACCGAGGGCCUUCUGGCGGUUCCCUCACUGCGAGAAGCCAAGUUACAGGGAACCAGGCAGAGGGCCUUCUUGGUAGUGGUGCCCUCCCUGUGGAACACCCUCCCACCAGAUGUCAAAGAGAACAACAACUACCAGACUUUUAGAAGACAUCUGAAGGCAGCCCUGUUUAUGGAAGCUUUAUUGUUUGAUGUAUCACAGCAUUUUAAUAUUUUUUUGGAAGCUGCCCAGAGUGGCUGGGGAAGCCCAGCCAGAUGGGCGGGGUAUAAAUAAUAAAUUAUUAUUAUUACUAAAGUAGCCUUAACAUUCUCCCUGGGGGAAAAAAAUGAAAUAAGCAGAUGCAAUUCUCUGGUAAUGUUAUCUAUCAAAUGGCAUAAGAUAUUUAAUAUCAUGUCAUAGGUAUCAAAGGUGGUUUUCUAACUGUUUUGGGGGACACCUAGGUUCUUGGAAGUUUAUCAGGGAUCCUUUAGUGAGAAGAUCAUGAAUUGUGGACAGGUUUCCCUGAAAGUCAGAAUGCCGAUCGCUGCAUCUUCUCUUACAUUGUGAAAUUACAGGGAACAGUCCUAGGGAACACACUAAAUUUCUGCUGAGUGUGGUUCAGCAAUGGCCUUUUCAAAUCUAUAUUUUAUUGAUUUUCCCCCACAUAUUAUGGUAAGUAGUGUACAAUAGAAUAGAAUAUACUAUUCUGUUGUGCAUACUAUUCCACCCACUCCUGGUUCCCUCUGGCCUUAUGCUCUUCCCCACCCGCUUUAGCUGCAGUAUGUUCGUCUCUGAUAUUCAGUUGCUUAGCAUGCUAUGCAGUGUUCAAGUUUACAUGCUCAGAUAACAGUUAGGAUAAAUGAGGGUAGAAGCCCUGCUGGAGACACAGAUUAACAUCCAUUAACCUGGGGAAGUUUCCAUCUCUGUCUUUUACCUCCUACGGCUUCUAGUUGUGGAUAUUACUUGGUUGAGAGUUCCAAAAAUGCACUCCAGAUCACUUGAAAACUUUUCAUUUUAUGUCGUUUCUGUAGAGCAGAAUUUUUUUUAUGGGCUGCUAGUUGCAGCUUUCUGUGCUUGGUGUGGUCCAGGUUUUUCAGUGAUGAAGGAUUGUUCAUUUUGCUAUCCCUGUGUUUGGUAGAACCUGUCCCUUUUAUAAUCCCCACCCAGCACAGGUAAAGGUACCCCUGACCAUUAGGUACAGUCACGGACAACUCUGGGGUUGCGGCACUCAUCUCGCUCUAUAGGCCAAGGGAGCCGGUGUUUGUCCUCACACAGCUUCUGGGUCAUGUGGUAUGACAAGCCACUUCUGCCGAACCAGAGCAGUGCACAGAAAUGCCAUUUACCUUCCCGCCUACUUGCACUUUGACGUGCUUUCGAACUGCUAGGUUGGCAGGAGCAGGGACCGAGCAACAGGAGCUCACCCCAUCGCGGGGAUUCGAACCACCGACCUUCUGAUCAGCAAGUCCUAGGCUCUGUGGUUUAGACCAAAGGGCCACCCUGUGUUUGAUAGAGCCUAUCUCUUUUAUAAUCCCCAGCCGGCAUGUAUGUAGCCAAUUAUUGUGCUGGUGUCUCCUAUUAGCAGGGAUUUGUCCAGAACCUGGAUGAUUAUGGCCAAUAUUUUCUUCCAGAAGGGUUGGAUUACUGGUUAGUUCCAUAGUAGGUAAAUUGGGUCUGCUUGCAGCUAUUUAAAUCUCCAGUCAUCUUUUGGUGUUGUUGUGGAACUGUGACCCUUUGAGGGUUGUUGUCCAGUGGAAGUGAACUAACUAGACAAUGGGAAGCAAAGUAAGGAUUUCAUUCUUGUACAAGAAUGGUGUUGCAUUCUGCUUUUUCAGAGUUAUCCUAUCAGGCUUUUUAUGUCAGCUGGAUGAACAGACAUUUGGCAAACCUAAUUGCUUCACUUAUUUUCCUCCUCCCCUAAGUAGCUAGUCCUCUGUGUGCCUGUGAGAAGUGGUCACACAGCUAUAUCCGGUGCCAUUUUUCUAGAAAAAGAGGCACCGGAACUCACCAUGAAUGCCUCCCCAGUGUGGUGUAGUGGUUAAGAGCAGUGGACUCGUAAUCUGGUGAACCGAGUUUGAUUCCCUGCUCCUCCAUAUGCAGCUGCUGGGUGACCUUGGGCUAGUCACACUUCUCUGAACUCUCUCAGCCUCACUCACCUCACAGAGUGUUUGUUGUGGGGGAGGAAGGGAAAAGGAGAUUGUUUGCCGCUUUGAGACUCCUUAGGGUAGUGAUAAAGUGGGAUAUCAAAUCCAAACUACUACUCCUCUUCUGCUUCUUAUAACAGCAAUGGCACCCACCUGGGAGGUGCCAGAACUGAGUUCCAGGGAGUUUCUGCUGAAAAAAAGCCCUGGCUAUAUCAGAAAACAAAUGUAUGACUCCUUGGUAGACCACAGAGGGAUUUCCCAAAAGAAUUGCAUAAAGAAUUUGAAACAGCAACAAGUGAUAUUUGCUGUGUAAGCGCUGUAACUCGCACAGGUGCUAAGCAGAAAGCCAGCCUAGAGGGACUGUGAAUAAGUUAAUGCUUCUCAUUAAAGAACGGGGUUGCCUGCUGAAAUUCCAUUGCUUUUCCAUGUUACAUAAUGGCCAUUGACUGUUGUGCUGCUGACUGAGGAGUUCAUGACUGUGGAAUUAAACUGACACCCAGCCAAAGGUGAAAAGUGGUAGUUAAUGAAUUAUUCUGAAGGAACGAAAAGGUUAGGAGAUGGAUUUACUUAGCAGUUCCGGAUUAGGGUUGGCUAACAUUUGUCACCUUGAAAAUGCCAGGGAAUUUUCAAUUGGCAGUUUGAUAGAUUGCAUAUGAGAUUUGGUUGGAAGGGAGAAGGAUAAGAAGCAAAAGAGAGACAGAAAAAGCCAACUUGAAGUAUGACUGCAAUGUAAGCUUAAACAAGUUUUCAAACUCCUCACAGUUCUCAACCAUAAUUCCUUUUAAGCUGUGGCUCCAUGAAGAAACCAGGAGUAUUUAUUUUAUUAAUUUAGAUUUAUAGAUCACUUAAUUAAAUUUUAAAAAUAUCCAUGUAUUUUGAAAUAUUGCAGAUAAAAGUAAGAAAAUAGCAACCACGUCAUAAAAUUUAACAAAGAACUACCUAAGCAAAAGUACAGUAUUCAAAGCCAGGACAGUUAAAUUGGCUUCAGAACUAUUUACAAGUACAGAAUAGAUGUACUUUAGGGUUGCCUGAAUGCAUGCAUCCAGUGUUAUAGAUCUUCCCAGUCACUAGAUUCAGGAUCUACAGCCAAACAAUAACAUAAAGGGCUCCACAUCUUCUCUGGGGGAAUGGGGGAAAACCCAGAGCACAUUUGAGGGGGUGCAGUAGUGCACCAGGAGAGGGGACAAAGAGGAAGUUCCACUGAAUGAGCAAAAGUCGUUCUAUUUGUGCAAUAACUUGGUUCAGUGCCAUCAGUUUUCCCAAGGUUGAAAACUUCUGAAAUCCAAAAGCACUUGAUAUAUAAUUUAAUCCAUAAAAAAAGAAAGAAAUAGUUUGAUGUGAUGCAGCUCCUGCUUCAUGCUGGAAUCCUUUGUCUUUGCAUGCCUGCAUGAAAGGCUCUUGCAGACUAGCAUGGAAGAGUCAGAGACCUUCAUUGUGGUGUGUUUUGAUCAAAACUGCUACCAUAGAUGGAUGGUGUGCUUUGCUCAGGAGGUCAAAAAGGGUAAAGGCCUGACUUUUAGACUUUCUUGCUUUAAGAACUUAAGGAUAUACUUUUCUAAAAUCCCAUUUCUUUCAAUAUGUAGGCCCUGUCCUUAUGUAAUACUAAGCCAACUCUGGCUGAAUGCAAUCACACAAACAUGAUGGCACUUGGGAAUGAGAUUGCCCACUCUUUUCUCUCAGGUUUUUAUCUCAGGAUAGCAUGGCUUAUACUUACCUAGUGUGUCAUCCGAAUGUGGGAGAAUGGUAAAGCUCUCUCCACAUUUACCAUGAUCUGCAGCAGACUCCUGAAGUGUCCAUAUUUUCCAGGGACAGUCCCAGAUUUACAGAAGCUAUCCCAGUUUCUCAUUUGAUCCCAGAAUGUCCCACAUUUCUUUAGGAUGCCCCUAUUUUCAUCAGAGGGUAUGGAGUUAUACAACCUCCUAGCCAAGGAGAUAAGUAACUACACGACCUUUGGAAGACAUCUGAAAGCAGCCCUUUGUAGGGAAUACUUUUUAAAAUGUUUAAUGUUUUAUUAUGUUUUUAUAUCUGUUGGAAGCAACAUAGAAUGGAUGGGGCAACCCAGUCAGAUGGGUAAGAUAUAAAUAACAAAAUUAUUCUUAUUAUUAUGGAAUAGGUAAAGGACCCCUGACAGUUAAGUCCAGUCACGAAUGACUCUGGGGUUGCAGCGCUCAUCUCACUUUACUGGCUGAGGAGCCGGUGUUUAUCUGCAGAUAGUUUUUCCAUGUCAUGUGGCCAGUAUGAUUAAGCCGCUUCUGGUGAGAACACAGCAGCGCACAGAAACGCCAUUAACCUUCCCACCAAAGUGGUACCUAUUUAUCUACUUUCACUUUCGAACUGCUAGGUUGGCAGGAGCUGGGACUGAGCAACAGGAGCUCACCCCGUCAUGGGGAUUCGAACUGCCGACCAUCCAAUCGGCAAGCCCUAGGCUCAGUGGUUUAGACCACAGCGCCACCUGUAUCCCUAUUAUGGAAUAGGACGUCUCUAUUUUCUGUGGAUAAAUAUAGGAGGGUAUGCUGUAGCCAAGAACAUACUUUGCUUACCCAUCAUGGUUGAAGAAAAGGCUUAACUAUGACUCUGUGCUUAGACAGCAUACUGAGCCAAACCUUGGCUUAGCUGCUAUGAUCCACUGAUUUAAAAGGACUAAGGAGAUGCAAAAUGGGUGUGAGGUCGUCCUCUCAAGCCAGUAUGUUUGCACAGUCCUGGUAAGCCACAGCUUGGCUUCCUGUGAUGCGCAAACCAGACAAUAAUGAAAAUACUGAAAAAGCACAUCCCGGCCAAAGGUGAGCAAUUUAAAUCCCAUUGAUUUCAGUGGGAAAGUGUUAAGUACAUGAGACUUAAAAAUCUUUAACUUUGGCUGAAUUGUAUCCCAAGUGAUUAAAACAGGUUCACUCCAUAAACUUUACGGAUUAACAUUUAGAGGGUUGAAUGUGUUGGCUGAAGGCAGUCUUUGUUCCAUCUGGUAUGCUAGAAAUGUCAAAAGCAGUGGCAUUCAAAAAAAAUUUCAUUAGCUGUCCUCGGGAUAACUGAAAUAACAUCUGUAAUAGCUGCUAACAACAGUAGGCCUUUUAAGAAUAAUAAGGGGAAAUAACAGAUAAAAGGGAGCAUGUUCCCACUAUGCUUCCCUGGAGUCCUGGAAAUAAACAAAAGACAGCACUACAUUAUUUUCCAAAAUGAAAAAGAAGGCUGCGAGCAAGGUCUUUUCCAUAGCAAAGGCACUUUACUAGAUGCCCUCUGGGUGGUAGGGGUGGGGAGAGACUUUUUAGUUAGGUCAAAAAUAAAUGCAAAAACAUAGGACUAGAUUUUAAAAGCCUUUCUUUGAAACUAAUAAAAGAAAUCAAACAGGGGUGGAAGGAUAGCCUCUUACUCUUUCCACUUGUCACAGUCUUGAGGAACUGGCAAGAAAGUUUGCCAGGAUUUUAGUCAAGAUUAGGAAAAGCAUAGCUCUGGAAAGACUCCAUAAAAUGGCUCAAGGUGCGCAGCACAAUUUUAUGUAUGCUUUCACAGGAACAAGGAUGGGGAGGAAAUUUGAUUCUGAUUGCAUUCAAAUGUAACUUACCUAAUAUGCCAUUCCCUAUAAAAUAUUCGGUCUGCACAAUACAUAAACCAAAAUGCAUAUAUCCUUUGAAAUGUGACUUCAUUGAAUUUUGCCACACAGUAUUCCAGCCAGAAACCAUACAGCAAAAUACAUAUAUUAAGGGAGAGUGUGUAUAAAAAUGUGUAUGUUAAUGAAAAUUACAUACAAAAUUACAUUAUAUUAGAUAAAAUCCUCUGCAAAAAUGUGUACAUUAGGCAAAGGUGCAUAUUUAAAAAUGUAUUAGGUGAAAUGCAAACCAAAAUGCUGACAAAUUUUCAUGAAAAUUGUUGGGGUUUCCCCACCGAAUUAUAAACCAAUGGAGAAAUGUGCUGAACUGAAUUUAAGAUUGGAAAAACAAGAAACCUGAGAGAAACUCACAUUGAUAGGUGUCAAUCCAUACUCAGGAGCAAGGAUUGCUGAGAAUAAAUCCCAUUGAACUCAGUGGGGCCUACUUUGGAGUAGACAUGCAUAGGGCUCUGUCAGAAUUUAUCAAUGGGUGCUUUGAGUACUUAACAGGUCCUAUUCUUGCUGAUUGUGAACUCAACCAGGCUGGAAUUUGCCUGUCAUGGUGAUGAGAAAGUACUAUGAACAUCCACUGCACCCUUGUACAUACAAAUGAACAGCAGAAGCAGCAGUAGCCUGGGGUUCUCAGAAGAAACCCAAAGCACAGAGUUGGGAACUUAUACCACAGCAUGGGAAGAAAACAAAGCAUCUAGCUGAUAGGGACUCAGCAUGCUGGGAGAGAAGCAACACAAGAACUGUGAGGGACACAAUUCCACAGCUCUGGGGAGCAGGAAGGACAAAGAUAGGGAACACUUAAGAUGUGAUUAGACUGGAUGGGGGGAAACACGACAGUGGUACAUCAGCUUACAGAUGCUUCAGGUUACAGACACUUCUGGCUACAGACUCUGCUAACCCAGAAAUAGUACCUUGGGUUAAGAACUUUGCUUCAGGAUGAGAACAGAAAUCAUGCUCCGGCGGCGCAGCGGGAGGCCCCAUUAGCUAAAGUGGUACCUCAGGUUAAGAACAGACCUCCAGAACAAACUAAGUUCUUAACCCGAGGUACCACUGUACUGUUUGAAACUAGGAUCUCUGGUCAUCGCCGGAAGGUUUUGGAAUUAGUGAAGGAAGGGAGCAAAAACUCACCAGGUCUCUUCUAAAACACUGAGACAGACUUGGAGUUCUGAAGGAAACUAACUGCUGCAAUCCCCUGCCCAACUCUCAAAUGAAAGAAUCUGCAACGGACUGCAUCUUUUGUGGAUUCAGUAUCAAUGUGCUGGACCACUUCCAACCCAUUGCCACUCAUUACCACUUCCAGACACUGAUUGAUUAUGAUACUUUGCUACACAUCCCCCAAUGACUGCUCCCAAUGUAGAUGUUAAAUUACAGGAGCAAUGAGAUUCAACCCUGAAGGAUUUCACAAGAAAAUUCUGACACAGCCAAGCAAAAGUCACCGGUCCUUUUCUCUGGAACUGCUCUUGUAUGUGGGAGCAGAGCCACAGCAAAGGAGCCCCCCCAACUUACUCAAAUCAAUAUUAUCAAAAUUUGCUGAAAGGUUACACUUGCUCCCCCUGUGUCCUUUUCCCAACAAAGAUCAUCAGACACAGUGAGCAAGGCUGUUUAGGUCCUCAAACCAGGCUUGAAGCCAGGUUGAAAUGGGUCUAGAUAGUUGGCUUUGAGAAAGCAAGCCUUAAGAUAAGAAAUGCUCUAAAGGAGGAGAUGAACCACCCAAGCAGCCCAGGAAGUUGUGAUGUUCAAUGGCCGUAAGAUGUGGGAAGAAACAGCACCAGGCAGGAAGUGUAAUGGAAGAGUAUGAUCCACGAGGACAUGGCUGGGCACUGAACAUUGUACACCAGCAUUCUACAUUGGAUAGCUCAGUUGGUUACAGCAUGGCACUGAUAAUGCCAAGGUUGUAAGUUCGAUCCCCAUAUAUUCCUAUAUGAAAUUAUAUAGGAAUAUAUAGACUUUGAUAACUAUCCAUUGGAUUUUUUGUUUCUCCAUAGGUUAUGAUGCAAUUUAAAUGUGUCAAAAGGCAAUUCAAAUACAUGUUCUCAGAGAAAUUAUUUUAGAAAAACUAAUGUGGAAAUGGAAUGCAAUUAGGGUUUAAAACAUGCAAAAGUGACUUAGAACAAGGAUUGCUGUGGGUUUUGCUUAGCACCAGACUGCUGCCUCGCUCUCUUUGGAGCAUCACUAGAAGACUAUCUUCUGUGGAGCAACUUUAGUUUCCAAGAUGAGCGAACCAAGAAUCCUACUGUUUAUAAAGCUUGUGGGGACAGGAACAUUAAAAGGUAGGGAAGUGUGGAAUAGUUUUAUUAGUCUUUUCAAAAUUAGUUUGGCUUUCCUUAAACUCCUCAGUUUUCAGCUACAGCAGGGCAUCCACAUUUCUUUCAAAUUUCAGUGGAAACCCAAGGAUGUGAUGAACUCCCCCCUCCCCCUCCACAAAGUUUGCUGGUUAUUUGGUAUCUCUUUGGACUUUGUUUGAAAUUCCUCAGAUAGCUCAACUGAGGAGUAACACUGAAACUUGUUUCUAAUUUCACUUUCAGUGGAAUCCUGCUGGCAAUACUACAGAAGACAAGAUGACUAAUUGUGCAAAAAUCAAGUGGGAAACUCUGAGUGAAUACAUCAUCUAUGGCCCUUGUUUUUCUUUUGCCGG